UGUAUGAGAUGCUAUUUUUCACGGCAAUGUUGGACCGUGAUCUGAAACAUGUCAGUGAAGAGUAUUCGUGUCGUUUUCAGAGCGCAGAGCCACUUCGAUCUCUCUGUGAAAGGGAAGUCCAUUUCACCGACCUAGACGACGUCUGCUGCCAGGCGGCUGCUGGAAAUCUCCGUGACGCAUAAAGCAAAUCAAAGGUGCCCCAUGUGAAAACACCUGAAGUGGACAUGGCCAUCCAGCAGAUUCAACAUCAUCCUGCCCAUGAGUGUCACACUAAAAGUGACCGCCCUCAGGACACCUCCACAAGAUGUACAGGAUGCCUGUUCCCAGGGCAAAGAAGGAAGGCCAUUUUGUCAAAACAAAGACAACCUUUGAUUAUGCCAACAAUCUGGUUAAGAUGGUGUUUGAUGAAAUGGUCCUGGAUCCUGGCCCAUUCACCGCAGACCUACUGAGGACCAGUCCA